AAUAAGUUAUAUAUAUAUAUAUAUAUAUAUAAUAAUAUUGAUAAUAAAAUUAAUUAUUAUUAUUAUUAUAUAUAUACAUAUAUAACUUACU
rnacentral:miRNA from 1 species